GUCUAGUGAAGGGAACACUACCAACUGAAUCAGACUGGGGGCAGGAAGUUUCUCUAUUGCUGAAAUUCUAGUCAUUUCCAGACUCCUACUCAUGUUUUGGCAACUCCGAUUAGAGCAUCAGGGUUCAGCCUUUAAACCGUGACGCUGAUGGUCUUGAAUACUUGGAAAUGAACUAUGAGAUAUCUAAACAACUCAUCAAGUAUUUGAUGUACAGCUAUGUGCACGCCACGAAUCCAGAUUCGGUGGUGUUCAAAAAACCGUCUAGUGUGGCCUCUGUCUUCAUUCCGCUCACACACGAUUCUGGGAGAUAAGACAAAUUUAGCGAAAGACAGCUGGAGAACACGUUCAAGUACUUGACCGUGCAGGGUACCGGCUGUAUGUGAACGGUAACUGUAGACCGCAUGGAGGAGAGGAGGGCAACAGACGGCGAGGGAGACGGACAAGCUCUGGAGGCAGAGAAAAGGGAGGGCACACGCCUCCAGGGUUUUCUGGAGAGCUUGAGCCGACUGUGUGUUGGAAAAUCGGGGUCUCGUGCUGGGGAUUCAGAGAGAAGAUGCCAUAUGUCAGAUCCCAAAUAGCUCCCACUCCACAAAAUGGCUUUGAUUCCACUCAAGUACGAUGUCAGCAAAGCCAGCAAUGAGAAUAAUUUCACAGCAACAGAGUUGGCUAUCUGAAUUUCACUCACGUAUCGACAGCAGAAACAGGAACUCGGAAGCCCUCGUCCCCUUGACAGAUACUGCGAGACAUUCAGGGGAGAGCCUGCCGUCCGUGACACAUGGGCAAUCCCAGGGUCUGGAUCGGUCCUGAGAAACUCACGAGCUUCCUGGCCCUGAGUCAUGGUGUUCCAUAGCCAAAGAAGAAAGCGAAUUACUUAAGACAAGCCUGGGCGCCGACCUUGAGAAUAAGUCACCAAGCAGGAAUUCUUUGUGGCUAUCUAGUUAUUGGCACCAAUACAAACGUCAACCAUAAAUAACGAACGCGUGACUCUAAAAAUCCCUCUCAAAUCAGCAUGGUGGCAACGAAGAGACAAAAGAGUCAGCACACAGUGGCCAUAACUUCACCUCCUUUUCUGUCUGGCCGUUCAGGAAAAUUCCCAGAAAUACAAAUGGGGCCUGCUUCCGGAGCGCCCACAGUGAUCCAGUGACUCAGCGACGGGCUCUUGGAAGUCGGUAAUCUCUUCAAACCAGAGACUUGCGAACCAGAAGCGUCUCUGAGGGCCGUGAGGCCGGCAGGCCCUGGGAGGGCACGGCAGGAGAAAGCGUCUGACCUGGGUUCGAGUCCCAGGCCCUUACCCUCUGCCGGCCCCAGAGCGCAUCACUGACGUUACUUGGGCCAUGUACCGUGCUCCUUCAGGCUUCAUCUCCUCACCUUCAAAAUGUGGACGGCAAUCACAGAUCCUACACGUCAUCGGGUUACGGAAAGAAUCAAAGCCCAAAAUUCAGGCAUUCUUUUCGAAAUAAGGCCUAUUCUAUGUGCCAGGUUCUCACCUACACACUGGGACUCACACGGAUGGGACGAGCCAAGUUCCCCACGCGAGAGCACUCACACAGAGGCCGGCACGCGGUAAGUGAUCACCUCUGUCCUUCCUUGUGCUUCUGACUCUCACCUAGCACACACAUGCCACUGCAUCACCAUGGGGCCCGCCCGGAUGCCUGCCUUGGCUUCCCCAACUGUACUCCAUACCUUCCACCCGCUGGCCCGUCGCUGCCCUCUGGGGCCAACUGGCAGACAUCUCUGCCCUCUGACCGGCUCGCCAGCAUGCAAAGACAUGUGAGUGUUUGGGGACGUCAUUCAGCACGUUCCACAAGCUAGGUCGUUCCAGGAGUGCUUCUCAGGUGUUCGCCUAUUUCACUCCCAGAACCACCCAAUGAGUACAAUUAACUACCGCUCCAUUUACGGUUUAAGGAAACUGAGACACAGAGCAGUUAAGUAAUCUGCCUGAGACCACUCAGCUUCUGUGUCUCCUGAGUCCUGACUCCUGGCCUCCUCUCUUUCCAGUUGGCUCUGGAAGACAUUUCUAAAUCCUGUAACCCAUUCCUCCUAAAAUCUCGCCACGUCUGAUGGUUAAUAGAGUCAAAUGCAAACACCCAGGUCUCUACUGCCUCUAAACCACAAAGUGGGUGUGCCAGCUAGUGGUGGUGGUUGGAGGCACAGCGUGUUUAACUCUACAAGGGGAAACAGAGCUUACGAGUACGUAGAGAUGCUUGGGAAAACCCACCCCAGUAUGUAGCCUUUGCCUACAACAUAAGUCAAACUGCAGGAGCUCGAGGUGUUUAAAUGGCUGCAUUAGCUUUUUUCCUCCCGAAUUCAUCCAGCACUUAGUUAUAUGCCCAGGACACACAGACCCACUGCCUUGACUGGUCAUACUGGAGCACUUAUCGUGACCGUCUAUCCGGCUGUAAAUUUCUUCACGUUGGGACCUGGAUCUUGGUGUCCAUUCUGCUUAGCACAAGGACUCCUGCCCAGUAGAUCGCUGAUAAAUGUCAGCUGGAGGAACCAGAAAAAGAACGAAUGAGCGAGAAUCUGGUGCGGGGCCAGAUUCCACCGCCACCAGGGCAGGGGCUCCAGUCCAUCCAGGACCACAGAAAGCAGGAAGCCAAGCAUAUGGACCACAGGGCUCUUCAAAGGGCCUGGAGGAGGUUCCUUCUUGCAGCAGCAUCGCAGAAUGUGUAAACAGGAAUUCAAGGACUCAAGAGACCUAACAGGACCCUCACGAGCUGACACUCGCUCUCUUGCCAUGUGGCGGGCACAGUGCCAAGGACUCUACAUGCAUGAUGUCCAUUAAUCCCCAUAACAUUCUUGCCUCCUUCUUCUGGUAAUUGAAGCCCUGCCUCCCCCACCGGCCAAAGUAAGUGCCUUGUUUUCCUCCAGCCAAGAGGUGGGGGCGUGUCUAAAUGGACCUACUGGAUACUCUCUCCAGGAUUUGACCCUGAAAGAGGACACAAGGACUGGCCUUAUCAGACCUUGAUGAGCUCGUCCGCUGGGCCUUCCAACAAGACUUGAGCGGCCCUCAUCCUAUCUGAGACCCGGUGCUUCACACUUUCUUCUCUUAUCGACUCCACAUCCUUCCUGUAGAUCCCCUUUCCGAGGUCAGCAGGGUCUGUUCCUGCUGCCUGCGGCCAAGCCCACCCAAUGAGUGGGUGCUGGGAUCACGAGUCUCUGUUCGGAGCAGGAAGCAGGCUGAAGGAGUCGGGGGACUUGCCCAGGCCACCUGGCUGCAAAGUGGCAGAGCAGGGACACAGAGCAGCUUGCCUGUGUCCAGAGCCGAUGGCUUAGCCAUCUGGCCACUGCCUCCUGCUGCUCGUAGGGCUGGAGAGAGCUGGCAUCUGUCACCCCACGGUCCCUUCUUUGGGGCACGUCAAGGUGGUGAGUUCAUCCAUGUGCUGAAAUGCGUUCUCAGGCUCAGAGUGGACAUUCUGCCCGGGGGCUAUUUUCUCAGGACAGGACACGCCUCCCUAGGACUGAUCCCCGUUUCUGAUGCCAUUACCUAAGUACCGUGCCAAAAGGCAUCUAGCACUCGCUGAUGAAACGCAUCCCUCCGGAUCCGUCCUUCCCUGAACCUCUCUCCCAAGGGUCUGAGCACAGGAAAUGUUGUUUUACCACUCGUGACAUUUACUGCAGCAAUGUCUUGAAAAUAAAAAGGGAGAGAGACAGAGCAAGGGGGAAAUGCAUACAUUAAACUUUUGGGUCACCACCACGCAUUUCUUUGGCAUUACUCGCGCUUUCACAACUGGUCUUCAUCAAAGGGUUUUCAUCUGCUCGCCAGUGUGUCAUCUGUCCUAAUGACUCACGAUGAGGGCUCGUUCCUUUCAGCAUGAUUUAUACUAGCUUAUCAUUC